AUACGGAGGGUGCAAGCGUUAAUCGGAAUUACUGGGCGUAAAGCGCGCGUAGGCGGUUUUGUAAGUCGGAUGUGAAAGCCCAGGGCUCAACCUUGGAAUUGCAUUCGAAACUGCAUGACUAGAGUAUGGUAGAGGGAAGUGGAAUUCCAGGUGUAGCGGUGAAAUGCGUAGAUAUCUGGAGGAACAUCAGUGGCGAAGGCGACUUCCUGGACCAAUACUGACGCUGAGGUGCGAAAGCGUGGGGAGCAAACAGGAUUAGAAACCCUUGUAGUCC
rnacentral:rRNA from 1 species